rnacentral:rRNA from 1 species
GACGAACGCUGGCGGCGUGCCUAAUACAUGCAAGUAGAACGCACAGUUUAUACCGUAGCUUGCUACACCAUAGACUGUGAGUUGCGAACGGGUGAGUAACGCGUAGGUAACCUGCCUGGUAGCGGGGGAUAACUAUUGGAAACGAUAGCUAAUACCGCAUAAUAUUGAUUAUUGCAUGAUAAUUGAUUGAAAGAUGCUAUUGCAUCACUACCAGAUGGACCUGCGUUGUAUUAGCUAGUAGGUGAGGUAACGGCUCACCUAGGCGACGAUACAUAGCCGACCUGAGAGGGUGAUCGGCCACACUGGGACUGAGACACGGCCCAGACUCCUACGGGAGGCAGCAGUAGGGAAUCUUCGGCAAUGGACGAAAGUCUGACCGAGCAACGCCGCGGGAGUGAAGAAGGGUUUCGGAUCGUAAAGCUCUGUUGUAAGGGAAGAACGGGUGUGAGAGUGGAAAGUUCACACUGUGACGGUAUCUUACCAGAAAGGGACGGCUAACUACGUG